rnacentral:rRNA from 1 species
CCUACGGGAGGCAGCAGUGAGGAAUAUUGGUCAAUGGACGAGAGUCUGAACCAGCCAAGUAGCGUGAAGGAUGACUGCCCUAUGGGUUGUAAACUUCUUUUAUAUGGGAAUAAAAUGUUCCACGUGUGGGAUUUUGUAUGUACCAUAUGAAUAAGGAUCGGCUAACUCCGUGCCAGCAGCCGCGGUAAUACGGAGGAUCCGAGCGUUAUCCGGAUUUAUUGGGUUUAAAGGGAGCGUAGGUGGAUUGUUAAGUCAGUUGUGAAAGGUUGCGGCUCAAACGUAAAAAUGCAGUUGAAAGUGGCAGUAUUUAAUAAAGUAGAGGUGGGCGGAAUUCGUGGUGGAGCGGGGGAA